AGCCUUCUGAGGCAGAAAAGUCUCUUGUGAUACUCUCUAUCUCCAUUAAACUACUCAGAAAAAGCCAGAAGUAGUGCUGUGGCUCAAAGUGGUAGAGUGCUAGGUCUUGAGCACAAAUGAAACUCAGGGACAGUGCCCAGGCCCUGAGUUCAAGGCCCGGG